UACGUAGGGUGCAAGCGUUGUCCGGAAUUAUUGGGCGUAAAGAGCUCGUAGGCGGUCUGUCGCGUCGGCUGUGAAAACUCGGGGCUCAACUCCGAGCUUGCAGUCGAUACGGGCAGGCUAGAGUUCGGCAGGGGAGACUGGAAUUCCUGGUGUAGCGGUGAAAUGCGCAGAUAUCAGGAGGGACACCGGUGGCGAAGGCGGGUCUCUGGGCCGAUACUGACGCUGAGGAGCGAAAGCGUGGGGAGCGAACAGG
rnacentral:rRNA from 1 species